GCAAACGGCGGUUUCGCUGAUCGCCACGUGGACCGGGCUCUCCGCAAAGGUUGCCCGUUGACAACUGCAUCUCCAAAUUUUAUUUUUUUUUUAAAUUUGCUUUGUUUAAAUUACCGCACUACAAAGUAAUUUAUGAAAGUCUUUGCCGGGUGCCACUCUCGGCAAAGCAUGAUGUUUUAAAAAGUUUAAUUUCCUUUUGUUUACUACCUAACUGUGAUAAAAAAAUAAAAAACACUCUUUUCCGAGAGCUUGCUCACGACGCUCUCGGCAAAGGCCAUUCCUGUAAAAAAACAAAUCUACGCCGAGAGCUGACCAAAUAGCUGUCAGUAAAGGAUCUUUGCCGAGAUCUUUUCCAAGAAGCACUCGGCAAAGAAUACCCUAAAAAUAAUUUAUAAAUAGAAAACGG
rnacentral:lncRNA from 1 species